GGGGCUAUAGCUCAGCUGGGAGAGCGCUUGCAUGGCAUGCAAGAGGUCGACGGUUCGAUCCCGUCU
rnacentral:tRNA from 1 species